rnacentral:lncRNA from 1 species
CAUUUAUUGAAACCAUCAACAUGCUGAAAGGGCACGGAAGGGCAUGGAGAAAGAACACGUCAAGGAGUGGACCACUGUCACAACACCACUGAAUAACAAUCAAGGAAGGCAGAAUUUGAAAACACCUUUUUCAAGGUAUACCAGGCAAAGUUAGAGCCAGACUAAAAUAUGUUGCAUCCUGAUUCCCAAACCUGCUAAUGACCUGACGAGUUCAUUUGACUAUGGCUGAAGCAUAUAUUCCUGUUCCACAGAACUGUAUCCGAGAAGCAGCAAGGUGCCCAGAGAUGUGAUAAAGGACUGCUCGACUCCGUCUCCGGGCUGAGUCAAAGUGGGUCCCUGCUCUUGAUCUUCCUUUGACUUUGUCUGGGGGAAAAUAAAACUCAUUAGACACACAUGCAUGCAUCAUUUCACCUCAAGAAUGUCAUUUUGACAGUUCCCUUUCAAGAGCAUAUUGUACAUGUUUUCCAAUACCUACAAUAAUCUGCUGGAUCCUAAUGACAUUUAAUUUAAUUUUAGUCCUUUAUGAUUUAUAUAUUUUUAUCAUCAUAUUGACUGCAUUAAUUUUUAAAAAUUAAAGUAAAACGUACAUGAACACAGAAGAACUUUAAAAUAGUUCAGGAAAUCAUUAAUGGGUAUUACUCCUUUCUUCCUGCUAUUCUACACUGAAAUCCCUAGUUCUACUCUCAACAUUUAAAAACAUUCUUUCCAGAAAAAUUUCUAAUAUGUACCCUAUAUCCACAUUUACAAUUAUUUUUUCUCUGCAUAAAUGUAAGUUUACAGUGAAAACUGUUUACUUAUUACUUUUUUCACAUUAAAAUACUUGUAAAUCAUUCCAUAUUUGCAUAUUAUAGUUCUCUAUUUUUUAAA